rnacentral:lncRNA from 1 species
UAUCUGAUUUUAGGCAGAAUCUUAUUUCACUGAGCAGAUUAGAUUUGAAAGGCUACAGAACAGUAGAUGAUGGAGAAAUCUUAAAGGUGUUGCACGGUGAUAGGAUUAUUCUGGAGGAAAAGAAAAAGAUGAGAGGACAUUACUACCUAACGGAGAGCUUAGUGUGAGGUGGAGCUUCAAGAGUCAGGAGGAAUCCAGAGCAAGGUGAGCUCCAGAUAGAGG